UUUGGUGGAAGGACGAAUACUCCAUCUAAAUGUCCGCCUUUGGUGGUUUUUUGGGUGGGGAGGAAAGUCCAGGCAGCGGGAAGCACGGUGCCCUAAUUAAUUUUAGGGACCCCGCCUUCAGGCGGGGAUAGUUAGAGCAACAGAGACGAGUUUGUGGUUAUUUUAAAGAUAACUACAAGGUGAAACGAGGACUGUGUCCUAUCCCGUCUGUGGCGGGAUGGCAAUCCUCCCGGCUGCAAUUCUGAAAAGAUGCGUUAUCGCCGCUUCCGCGAGCAUCAAGUGAGAAGCUUAGAUAGAUUUUCGUCUAAAACAGAACCUGGCUUACUCUCCACCAAAGGCA
rnacentral:RNase_P_RNA from 1 species